rnacentral:rRNA from 1 species
AUUGAACGCUGGCGGAAUGCUUUACACAUGCAAGUCGAACGGCAGCAUAGGUGCUUGCACCUGAUGGCGAGUGGCGAACGGGUGAGUAAUACAUCGGAACGUGCCCAGUCGUGGGGGAUAACGUAGCGAAAGUUACGCUAAUACCGCAUACGAUCUACGGAUGAAAGCGGGGGACCGUAAGGCCUCGCGCGAUUGGAGCGGCCGAUGUUAGAUUAGGUAGUUGGUGGGGUAAAGGCUCACCAAGCCGACGAUCUAUAGCUGGUCUGAGAGGAUGAUCAGCCACACUGGGACUGAGACACGGCCCAGACUCCUACGGGAGGCAGCAGUGGGGAAUUUUGGACAAUGGGCGCAAGCCUGAUCCAGCCAUUCCGCGUGCAGGACGAAGGCCUUCGGGUUGUAAACUGCUUUUGUACAGAACGAAAAGCUCUGGGUUAAUACCUCGGGGUCAUGACGGUACUGUAAGAAUAAGCACCGGCUAACUACGUA